GGAUCACCGAUCUCGCCUGUUUUGAUUCAAUCAUUCCUGCAUCAACUCGACUUGCAAUUCGAUGCUAUGGCCCAAGAGGAGAAUGGGGAUUCUACCAAGUACGUCUAUUUCGCUCGCUACGCAGACAAUAUACUAUUCGGCAUUCCUAUCGUAGGUGUUGGCGUCAUGUCUAAAGUCUUCUUUCGAAGGCUGCAAGAAGUUCUUGACCGUAUGUCCAGUAAGCUACGCUUGAAAUUAACGUCUAUUGUACUGCAACGAUGGAGGGCUCCCGCAGUCGAGGAGGGCAAAGAUAGGUUUGCAAACCAGAUUAUUGGCUGUUACUUGCUCUCUCAUUCCUGGGAGUCCUUCAAGGGUAUCAGAUCUUGCUUGAAACAGGUUUUUCUUUCGCGCUUCCCCUAGCGCAGGCAGUAGUUUGAUAGCGAGUUCACCUUCCUAGUAACAUUUGCUCAUUUCAUUCAUUCUCAUUCAAAUCUACUUCUAAGGCAUGUGAAGUACCAGUUGUGGACAGAUCCCUUGGCAGAGUAUCAACUUGAGAUUCUUCUUUCACCCUCCAGGAGUUCGGUUCUUUUCUUUCUAUAUUAGAAUACGACGUAGAGGCUGAGCCUGCCGAUUGAUCAGACUAGCCAACUAAGGGGCCAUUCACUUCUAUAGAAAAAUAGGUGUACUGCGCGAAAGCUUCUCUUUAUGAAAACCCCUCUGAGUCGUCUAUAGCCGCCAAAUCCCUUUUGAUUCUGUUGUCAGAGGUGCCUUUCAAUUUCAUUGACCUUGGUACUGCAUUUCAUAGAUACCUUCGCUAUUACAGUAACGCAAUUCUCCACUGAACCCAUUGACCUAGGUACCGAGUCUGUUAUGCGUACGUCUUUUCGGACUCUUUAUUUGUUUGUGGACAACAAAAAUUCAAACAUGAGAAAAGGGGAUCAUUCCAUUUUGAACACACCCAUCUAUCUCAUCUGACCUCUCCGAAUUCCCGAGUAACGAACCAUGGGCUAUAGAUGGUUGGGACAUAUCAUCAUCCGGAGGGAGUGGUCUUAAUACCGAUGUCUUUCUUUAACCUUUGGGAGGUCGAACCACUGAACCUAUUUCUUUGACCUUGGGACCGAUAGAUAAGAAGGCAAGGCAGAAGAACCAAUUGAAUCGCGGAGAACAGGUAGCUCCGGCAUGUGAACUUGUCGAACCAUUCAACUAUACUGUAUAUCGAUUGGCCACAUCAACGCAUUUCACCUCGAAACUUGUACUUGGAAUAGAGCCAGCCUUGAGAUCCGCCACAUCUUCCUUCAAGUCAGAGAGUUGAGAUAGAACAGCUUCGCCUUUGACCGGUUUGCUGCUUUCCUUUAUACACAAGCCCCUAUUAUUAAGGUAUGGAGGUUUUUUCUGGAAUGACCAAAGAACAAGAGAAGUUCAAUGAGGUGCAAACGCAAGAAUUAAAGCAACGAGGACAAGUGCUAGGAUAGGAUCCCGAAGGAUGGCAUGCCUAUUCAGCAACGUGCAGAAAGGAUGGCUUCACGCAAGAAUCUUGAUGAACCAGGUAUGUCUUCCACUAACAGAUAUGCUAUUUGCAAUUCCAUUGAUUCUGCUAGUCUAGUAAAAUCUGCUGUAGAUAGUGGUCUAGUGUUGGGCAGUACACAGAAGGAAAUUGACAGGUCUAUAAAUUCUAUUAAAGCAAGAGAACUUGCUCAAGCAUUGCUUUAUGAAGCUGCUCAGAAAAAGAAGUUAGCUGCUCAUGAGAAGGAGCAGUCUUCCAGUGUCGAGUUAAGCUCUGAUUCAGAGAAUGAGGAUAUUCAGAUUGUUGAAGAGUUAGAUAAUCACAGUACUUGUAUACCAGUUGGUGACAAGAACACUACGAGCAGAGCUAAGAGGAGGCAUAACAAAAAAUAGAUACCGCCAUGAAGACACUAAUCUUGAAUGUGAGGGGCCUGGCCAGGUAGAAGGGGGCAACCUUCUGAAGUGAUAGAGUGGGUGGACAUAGUUUGUGUGCAAGAAACUAAGAGAGAACAGUUCUCAGAUAAAGAGUUAAUGGCAAUUGGUGGCAGAAAGCUUUUCAAGUGGUUUUGCAAGCCAGCCAGUGGCAGUAAAGGUGGAAUGCUUAUUGGAGUCAAUCUGGAUGUCAUGGAUGCAGACCUCGUUGGGGAGGGUCAAUUUCUCCAUGGUGUUUGAGUAUAGAGGCUUUGUGAUAAUUGUGCUUGGGUGGAUGUUUAUGGUCUAACCAAAUUUAAGAGCUAUGUUUUUGUCAAAGCUCACUAACUUUGUGCAGAGUGUUGAUCUACCUUUGCGGGACAUGAUCAGAUUUGCUCAUGAAACAAUGGCAGAAUACAUAUUAAUAGGAUGGAAGCUUUUAAUGCUUUCAUAUCUGAAACUGAACUACAGGAACUGAGAAGGGUUGGUGACCUGGACUAACAAACAAGACAGGCCAGUGAGAGAAGUUUUGGAUAGAGUUCUGGUUUCUUCAACUUCUGAGGAUUUAUUUCCUAAGUUUUACUAUCCCUCUUGCAAGCUGGGUCAGAUCAUUGUCCUUUACUUCUAGAAAAUGGGGAAGAUAGGGGCUGCCACUAAGUUUCGUUUUGAACCAUCCGCAAGAAGGGUUUAGAGAUAUGCUGUUAUAGAAAUGGCCUACAAGAACUGUUGCAAAUGUUCCAUUCCAGACUAUUGGCAACAAGUGUCUCAGGGCUUCAGGAAGUUCUUGAGAGGGUGGAAGGCAAAUGAUGCUACUGACAAUAGAAGAAGUAAAUCCAAUCCCUGCUUUAGCCUUGCUGCUUAUUCACUGGCAAUCCAACCAUACCAUUCUUGUCUAUCAGGAUCAGUCUUUCCCUCAAGUCACCUUAACAUGCUUCUUUCUUUCCUUCACUAUGCAGAUACAAAACUAGGUUGCGGACGCAUAAAGCCACUGAUACUAUUGGUCAGAAGUAUGAUUUGACAAAAACUACUACUUUAGCAGCUAUGCGAAAUGGAAGUUUCCUUCUUCUUGCUUGUUUGGCCGUCCGAAAGCAGAUACAGAUAUCGGGGAGAAAGCAGCUCUCUGAGCGAUGGAUACCGAUCGAUCUCGGUUAUUUUCAUUGAUCCUGGCCUAUCUCCAUAGCGCUCACCCAGAGGGAAUUCACUCAGCUCUGGGCCGCAUCCAUCUGGUUGGCAUGAGAAAGAAGGCAAUUCCUUCCUUGGGUCAGAUCUCCGUUCCGGGAUGGAAGAAAGAAAUGAUGGUUUGGAUGAGCAAUUGGGAAACACACACGGGGUCAUGGAUGGCUACCUAAUGUGAGAUGCAUGCAUUUCGGAUAGAAUGUCACACUGGCUCUGGAGUGCCCGGGGCGAUAGAUAUAUGGAUAUAUAGAAGGAAGGGAACAUCGUCAGCGAGCUCUCUCUCCUAAUCCACUUUCUUAUUGCAAAGGCUCCAACAGAGCAAAGUUGUACAAAAAGAAGUAUGCAUAUGGUCGGUCCCCUUCGAAAGGCAAUGGAAAGCAAGGGUCCCGCUAGCAUUGAGGAAGGAAGCGGUGAGACCAGUUCAGCCAUAACCUUGAAUGAAUUUAUAUAAGCCAGGAUCUUGUACCGGGUACGGAGACUCUCUAGUGAUGCUCCCCUACCCCCCUCUGCCUAGGGUAAUAAGCUGGAGUGAUAAGCUUAAGCUAAUAGCACAUAGAGAGCUAAUACCAUAUCCCGCCCGGCUCCGCCUUUAGCUGACCCAGCCCGGACUUCCCCUUCAAGCGUUCAAGAAUAAGCAUGGGAGUCGAAUAGAGAUGGCACUUGGAAACUACCGUUGGUAUUUCAGGUUUCACACUAUACAGAAUGAAAUCAUCGAUAGGGCUCGCCCCGAAGAGAGGAUGCCGCGCUUAAUCGAAAAUUGUUUAGUUUAGGCAUUUAGCUUAGCUUAAAAUAGAUAUGUAACAUGAUGUACUUACACGUGCAACCACUCCGUCUUCUAGACCGGGGUCAUAAUUGAACCCACAACAAACCUCAGAUGAUGUGACUUCUCCACCCUCUAGGCAAUUAAAAACUGGUCCCAUUAGCUCGAAUUUACUAAUGUUAGAAAGGAAGACGAAUGUGCCAAAACAAAGCAUUUGUUUCAAGCGCUGUCGUGUCCUUGAGCUUCAAAGUCUCCAAAAUCUUGAUCGAGAAGAGUAAGCAUUGCCUGGUGAGGAAGAGCGGAAGCAUAGGUUUUUGGAUCCUAGCGAAGGAGUUUCAAGCACGGAUUACGCUUCUAAAGAGCACUAUUUGGCUUGGCCCCUUCCUGCCAAAGAUUUGAGAUAACUAAAGCGACUCGCAGUCAAAACUGGUGGAGCCAACGCCAAAGAGGAAAUGUGUAGAUAGUAGGUGAGCGCCUAGCCCCUUAGUCUUUCGGAUCGGAAGAUUCAUUGGUUUCAUCCAAAGGCUUCUGUCUCGUUUUCCUCAAAUUGUUGAUCGAGGAUCAAAGACAUUGCUAAAGCAGACGCCUACCGAACGGGAGUUCUUGUACCUGCUAGAACGGCAUCUGCUCGAACUUUUGUUUCUUAGAAAAGAAAAUAUGAACUCACAAUGUGCAACAGAAAUGUACCCACCGGUUGAGAAACAACCAUAGUUGGAUGAUUGCUCGCGCUAGUAAGACAACUUUGACUCUUCUUGAUCGUGAUCUGGUGAUCGGUCACACCCUCUUUAGAGGUUCUAGGCCCUGCCUAUUGAGUCAUCUACCACAGAAACAGAGUCUCGUGAUGAUCCUGGUACAAAAGGUUCGUCUAUAGGUACAAAGGGAGUAGUACUAGGCAUGCAGCUUUAACUUUCCAGGGGAGUUGUUUCUGGAUUUACCACGGCAGUUGCGUUGGAUUUCACCAGGGAUUUUACCAGGGAUGACCAGGGAGGCAAAUUACCAGGCAUAAUUUACAAAUAUCUUGUUCUAUACACAAUUACCAUUGUUGUACGCAAGUUACCAGGCCUGUAUAUAGCAAAAUUACCAUAACUCAUGUAUAUUAGUCAUCAUGUACAUGAAAGCGCAGCUACCAUUUUUGUUUUGUUGUACUGUGAUUGAUACUUCAAGAUAAAAGAAGUUCACCAAUAGUACAUAGUUUUUUUUAUCAAAUUUCAUUUGUACCUAUAAGGUUUUUGUAUCAUAGUCCCCCAUGCAUGUCCCUGCAUUGUUAUGUACUCCCUCCGUUCCUAAAUACAAGUCUUUAGAGGUUUGAAUAUGGACUACAUACGGAUCAAUAUAGACAUAUUUUAUAGUGUAGAUUCACUUAUUUUGCUUCGUAUGUAGUCAUAUUAGAAUCUCUAAAAUGACUUGUAUUUAGGAACGGAGGGAGUAGAAAAUACAUUUACUAGCAAAAAUUACCAAUACUGUAUGUUCUCUGAAGUUAUUGGCAAUGUUCUAUCAAAAUUACCACAAUGGAGACAAAUCUGGUAACAGUAAAUAAAACCACCAAAUGCAGUAUGCCCAAGUUGCUUCGCUAACUAAUGUGGGACAAGACUUGUAUCUUCAGCUGACAAUUCCCCGAGGAACAAAAGAAAAACCUGUCUACAUAAGCAUGUCUGUAGAUCUUCGUUAGACAAUCAGUUAGACAGGCAAAAAAGGGCGGCAGGGCAAAAUAUUUAUUCAAACUGCUGUGCAUAACAAAAGCCAUCCUUCAGCUCAUUCAGGAAGGAACCAAGAGAUUAUCACAAUGUGAUUCGCCCACACACGCGCCAGUAUGCUCCAGGGUGGAAA
rnacentral:lncRNA from 1 species